AUUGAACGCUGGCGGCAUGCCUUACACAUGCAAGUCGAACGGUAACGGGCCUUCGGGUGCCGACGAGUGGCGAACGGGUGAGUAAUGUAUCGGAACGUACCUUUCAGUGGGGGAUAACGUAGCGAAAGUUACGCUAAUACCGCAUAUUCUGUGCGCAAGAAAGCAGGGGAUCGCAAGACCUUGCGCUGAUUGAGCGGCCGAUAUCAGAUUAGCUAGUUGGCGAGGUAAAGGCUCACCAAGGCGACGUUCUGUAGCGGGUCUGAGAGGAUGAUCCGCCACACUGGAACUGAGACACGGUCCAGACUCCUACGGGAGGCAGCAGUGGGGAAUUUUGGACAAUGGGGGCAACCCUGAUCCAGCCAUGCCGCGUGAGUGAAGAAGGCCUUCGGGUUGUAAAGCUCUUUCGGCCGGGAAGAAAUCGUAUCAGCUAAUACCUGGUGCGGAUGACGGUACCGGCAUAAGAAGCACCGGCUAACUACGUGCCAGCCGCCGCCGUAAUAC
rnacentral:rRNA from 1 species